rnacentral:ncRNA from 1 species
ACAGUACAAACUGAACAGGCCGGAAAGUACUUCUUCCGGAGCCGGGUCACUUCCGUGACAGUGGAUGACACAUCCAUGGGACAGU